ACCCUGCUCCAGGCAGCGUGGUCUGUAUGGCUCCGCCCUGGGCAGGAGGAGAAAGAAGAGGGCCAGGCACCACGUGCCUGCACUCUCCCUGGAUGCUGGAGGCUGCUCCGCCGUGGGCAGGAGGAGAAGGAAGAGAACUGGGUGCCGCCUGCCUGCACUCUCUCCGGAUGCUGGAGGCUGGAGGCAGUGAGGCAGCAACAGCGCGAGGGCGAGGCGACUUUGGAGCUGCCUCAUGCAGCGACCUCGCCUUCCGCUGCGCCUCCUCCCAGAACCCAAGAAGCCUGGAACCUGUGGCGUCCAGCCCUGAAAGGAGGAGACGGCAACCCAGCCGCGCGUGAGUCCGGGAGUCUGGGAUACCGGCGGCAGAGGAAGGACAGGCAGGAGUCUCGGCCUCUCGGGGAGCGACGUGCCGGGAAAGGCAGGAGGGCCCCAGCGGUGGGGGCGGGGGUUGCGCGCCGGGGAGGGCGGCCUCAGGCUGGGAGCCUGGCAGAUCGUCUGACUCUCCCCGAGCCCCAUCCCAGGCCGAGCCAGGACCCCUCUGAUGCACAGGCGUCUCAGGAGCCCGUUUCUUUCUUGAAUCCGGGGCCCAGUGCGGCUUGAACCUAGCCCCCGACCUCCUCCUCGCCCUCUCAGAGUCCGCUGGGGUGGGCGCUGAAGGAGCCCGGGUCGGAGAGGAGCCCUCCCCUUCUCUCCUGCGUGGAAGCCCUGCAGCCUCCGUUUCUUUUGGGACUGGGGUCCGGGGCCUUCUGCCUGACCCGGGGUGAGAAAGGGAGCCCUGAUCAGGACCCGGUGAGAGGGCGCUGGAGCCCGGGAGCGGCAGGAGCCUUGAGCGGCAGCCCGGGAAGAGGAUGGGGUCACCUUCUGCCCCAGGUCCCCCACUGCCAGGAUCUCUGUCACCUUCUGGGGGUCCUGUCCCCUGGGGUCCCACCCCCCGGGCUGCCUGUGGGUAUCUCUCAUCUGGAACUGGAAAUAACCCUCUUCAUAGUACGGCUUAGCAAAUAUUUAUUCGCCCAUGCACCCCCCUUUUUUUUCCUUCAUAGUGUUCUUUUUGUCUUGGAUCAUUUGUGUUUUUCCUACAUUGAUGUGAAGCAUUUUUAAAGACACUUUAGAGAUUAGUCCUUUAUUGGUUCAUUUCUAUUGUAGGUUGUUGUUUCCUACUCUGGUCUUUGUUGUUUAAUUUCAGUUUUAAUUUCUUGCUUGGUUUAGUUCAUGUAACAAUAUUUUUCUUAGAAUAUUUGUAUCUGUGUUUGUGAAACAGAACAUCUAUUAUUUCUGGGUUUUUUAUUGUCUGAUCAGAUUGUGUAUUAAUGUAAUGCUGGCUUCUCGAAACAAAUUGAAAAACCAUCCCUUUCGUCUUUCUCUUUGAGAGAGAGUGAGCAGUGUCAAUAUUUUUUUCUUCCUUAAAUAUUUGGAACAUUUUCAAAGUCUGAUCCUGGUGUUUUCCUUGUGGAGCAUUAUUGUUGAUUUGUUGGAUUUUUAAAAUUAGUUAGUUAAUUUUGUUUAAUAUAUAUAGGAGUGUUCUUAUUUUAUGCUAUUUUUGUGCCAGUUUUAGUAAGUUGGGUUCAGCAUCUGUUGCGAUCUCUGUUGUCAGACUUUUGAUCAUAUGUAUUUCACAAAAUUCUCUGAUUAUCUUGUUAUAAUACUGUUAUGUAGAGUUGUUGUUUUGAUUCUGAUACUGGUCACUUGUGUUCUUUCAUCUUUUUUCCUUAAUCAGUUUUGCCUGCACUCUCCCUGGAUGCUGGAGGCUGGAGGCAGUGACGCAGCAACAGCGCGAGGCGACUUUGGAGCGGCCUCAUAUAGCGACCUCGCCUUCCGCUGCGCGUCCUCCCAGAGCCCAAGAAGCCCGGAACCUGUGGCAUCCAUCUCUGAAAGGAGAAGACGGCAACCCAGCCGAGGCACUACUGGGUUGGGGUCUCCACGACCGAGCUGGUCUCAUCAAGUGGCGUCCAACAAGGGGCUCAAACCCGGGUUGAGGGGUUGCUGGAGCGACGGAGAACGUGGAACUACACUGGAGGACACCAGAGUACUCUUAAGCAAUCCCUUGGCCAAAACCAGCAACUGAUUUGGAUACCAUCAAGACACCUGAAAUCUUGUCAUGAGCCAGAUACUGAGGAAGAGAUUUUGGGAAGAACCCAAGGACCCCCCAGUUGCAGCCAUGUCAAGACUGACAAUAAGGAAGACAUCAGUCCCAGCAAGCAACAUUCAUCGGGCACAGCCACCCAUGUGGGGCCAGAUCAAGAAGUUGACACAGAUGGCGGAAGAAAAUCUGAAGAAAGCGGAUGACCAGCUACAAUGAUCUGCAGAUGUGGAUCCCGAAUCCUGCGAGAAGUAGCCCACCAUGACGAAGCUGCCUUUGCUUUUAUCGCUUUGCAAAAACAGAAAAGGGGACAUGCUGGGAACAGGCCCUAAGCCUGUCAUAAACAGGCCUUAAACUGACCAUGAACAGGAUUUCUGCACGAAUGUGACGUGCUCCUGAUGGCUAUGACGCCCACUGCUAGAAGUUGUUAGUUUACUGGAGCAGGGUAGGGAACACCUGGCCCACCCGGAGCGGAAAACUGCUCAAACCACAAACAACAGCAUGAGUGGCCUGAGCCUUAACAACAUGUUUUUGCUGCAGAUAAUCGGCCAGAGACUGUUUCUCUACUCCUCUCUAAGUAUGCUUUGUUUUUCGUAAGGAAUGCUUUUAGCUAAUCUGUAACCUAUAGAAACAAUGCUUAUCACUGGCUUGCUGUCAAUAAACAUGUGGGUCAAACUCUGUUUGUGGCUCUCAGCUCUCAAGGCUGUUUUCCCCCUGAUUCCCACUUUGCACUUUAUUUCUGUGUGUUUGUCUUCAUUCCUCUAGCACCACUGGGUUGGGGUCUCCUUGACCAAGCUGGUCUCGGCACAUAUGCAUGUAUGCCCAGGUCCUGAAAUCAGCCUUGUGGAGCCUGUGGGUAGGAAAAGUCAACCCUCUGUGCAUGUAGGCCUGGAACCUGACCAAUACUGUAUUUUCCUACCACGUUUGGUUUCAAAUGUGGAAACUGCCCAUACGGACCUACUGCAUUUGUUUUUAAAAAUCCUCUGUAAGUGGACCUGCACAGUUCAGGCCCAGAUUGUUCCAGGAUCAACCCUACAGUAGAAAUCAAGUAUCUUUUUCAUUGUCUCUUGGGAUCUGCCUUUUCACCAAUAAAAUAUGAGGGCUGUUGGGAGCAGGCCCCCCCAAAUCUGGCCAUAAACUGUCCCCAAAACUGGCCAUAAACAAAAUCUCUGCAGCACUAUAACAUGUUCAUAAUGGCCAUAACGCCCAAGUUGGAAGGUUGUGGAUUUACAGGAAUGAGGGCAAGGAACACCUGGCCUGCCCAGGGUGGAAAACCACUUAAAGGCAUUCUUAAGCCACAAACAAUAGCAUGAGUGAUCUGUGCCUUAAGAACAUGCUCCUGCUGCAGUUAACUAGCCCAACAUAUUCCUUUAAUUCAGUCCAUCCCUUCGUUUCCCAUAAGGGAUACUUUUAGUUAAUUUAAUAUCUAUAGAAAGAAUGCUAAUGACUGGUUUGCUGUUAAUAAAUACGUGGGUAAAUCUCUGUUUGGGGCUCUCAACUCUGAAGGCUGUGAGACCCCUGAUUUCCCACUUGACACCUCUAUAUUUCUGUGUGUGUGUCUUUAAUUCCUCUAGCACUGCUGGGUUAGGGUCUCCCUGACCGAGCUGGUCUCAGCAAGUGGAGUCCAUUGUGGGGGCUCAAAUCCAGGUUGAAGGGUCACCGGAGCAACAUUUGGAAAGGAAAACUAGCUGAAGGACAUGUGAAUACUCUUAAAGCAAUCUCCUUGGUGAGUAAGAAGGGGCGCUCGGAAGCGUCAGGGUAACAAUGGGACACGUUUGGGGUCUGGUUUGUUUCACCUUGGAACUUUUUCACACGGAUGAUGAGGAGGAAGGAGAGUUUAAUGAAGUAACAGAAGAGAGUACAGAGCACAUUUAUUUACCAGCUAAAGCUAAAGCAGCAAAGGAGGGAGAGAUUCAUCCUUACCCUUCUGCACCCCCUCAUGAUUAUUUUGAAGAAAAUGACUUUCAAGAUCUUUCUUUUCCAGAGGACACUGGGCGAAAAGUAGUUGCCCCAGUGACUGUUUGAGCAGCACCUCAAGCGACUGCUCUUAGUUCUAUUCACGCAGGAAUUCAGCAAGCUAGAUGAGAGGGUGAUUUAGAGGCUUGGCAGUUCCCUGUUAGAAUACACCACCCCCAGAUCAACAGGGAAAUAUUAUAGCUACAUUUGAGCCUUUUCCUUUUAAAUUACUCAAAGAAUUUAAACAAGCUAUAAAUCAGUAUGGACCAGGUUCUCCUUUUGUAAUGGGACUGUUAAAGAAUGUUGCUGUUUCCAGUUGGAUGAUUCCUACUGACUGGGAUGCUCUUACUCGAGCUUGUCUAACUCCUGCUCAGUUCUUAAAAUUUAAAACUUCGUGGGCAGAUGAAACUGCCAUUCAGGCUGCUUGCAAUGCCCAGGCCCAACCUCAAAUUAGUAUAACUGCAGACCAACUUUUGGGGGUUGGCAACUGGGCUAGUUUAGAUGUCCAAGGGGUCAUGCAGGAUGAUGCCACAGAGCAGCUUAACAGAGUGUGCAUUAAAGCUUGGGAAAAAAAUCACUAUAGGUGUAGAACAAUACCCUUCCUUUAGUGCUAUAAAACAGGGACCAGGAGAACUAUACCUUGAUUUUAUAGCUCGGUUACAGGAGUCUUCUUAAAAAGAUGAUGCAGAUUCGGCUGCUCAGAAUAUAGUGUUGCAGUUAUUAUAUUUCAACAAUGCUAAUCCCAAUUGCCAGGCUGCUCUGCAACCUGUCAGAGGGAAAGCACAUUUAGUUGAUUAUAUCAAGGCCUGUGAUGGUAUCACAGGUAAUCUGCAUAAAGCUACUUUGUUGGCACAGGCAAUGGCAGGACUGAGAGUGGACAAAGGAAAUACUCCAUUUCCUGGAGCUUGUUUUAACUAUGGGAAGCAUGGUCAUACUAAAAAAGAAUGUAGAAAAAAUCAGCGAGCCAGGCUGCCA
rnacentral:lncRNA from 1 species